CGACCGAUCGCACAAUGUCAGUGCAUCAGCAAAGAGUUUGGCACUCUUUAGAACAGUAUUCGGCUGAGGGUCCGGGUUCGAGUCCCGGUCGGUCGC